rnacentral:tRNA from 1 species
AGCUCCACGUCAGGGCCCCCACUCCCCAGCCUCUCUCCUAAAGCGGGUGUCGCAGGUUCGAAUCCUGCCGGGG